GAUCAUGGCUCGGGAUGAACGCUAGCAGCAGGCCUAACACAUGCAAGUCGAGGGGCAUCACGAGGUAGCAAUACUUUGGUGGCGACCGGCGCACGGGUGCGUAACGCGUAUGUAACCUACCUAUAACAGGGGCAUAACACUGAGAAAUUGGUACUAAUUCCCCAUAAUAUUCGGAGAGGCAUCUCUCCGGGUUGAAAACUCCGGUGGUUAUAGAUGGACAUGCGUUGUAUUAGCUAGUUGG
rnacentral:rRNA from 1 species